rnacentral:rRNA from 1 species
GAUGAACGCUGGCGGCGUGCCUAAUACAUGCAAGUCGAGCGAACAGACGAGGAGCUUGCUCCUCUGACGUUAGCGGAGGACGGGUGAGUAACACGUGGAUAACCUACCUAUAAGACUGGGAUAACUUCGGGAAACCGGAGCUAAUACCGGAUAAUAUAUUGAACCGCAUGGUUCAAUAGUGAAAGACGGUUUUGCUGUCACUUAUAGAUGGAUCCGCGCCGCAUUAGCUAGUUGGUAAGGUAACGGCUUACCAAGGCGACGAUGCGUAGCCGACCUGAGAGGGUGAUCGGCCACACUGGAACUGAGACACGGUCCAGACUCCUACGGGAGGCAGCAGUAGGGAAUCUUCCGCAAUGGGCGAAAGCCUGACGGAGCAACGCCGCGUGAGUGAUGAAGGUCUUCGGAUCGUAAAACUCUGUUAUUAGGGAAGAACAAAUGUGUAAGUAACUAUGCACGUCUUGACGGUACCUAAUCAGAAAGCCACGGCUAACUACGUG